CCCGGAAGUAGGGAAUAACCGGCCGAAAGGUUGGCUAAUACCGUAUGUGGUCGCCGGUUAGAGUCCGGCUGACUAAAGCCUUCGGGCGCUUUCGGAGGGGCCUGCGGCCGAUUAGCUAGUUGGUGGGGUAACGGCUCACCAAGGCGACGAUCGGUAGCUGGUUUGAGAGGACGGCCAGCCACACGGGGACUGAGACACGGCCCCGACUCCUACGGGAGGCAGCAGCGAGGAAUCUUGCGCAAUGGGCGAAAGCCUGACGCAGCAACGCCGCGUGGGGGAUGAAGGCCUUCGGGUCGUAAACCCCUUUUGCAGGGGAAGAUAAUGACGGUACCCUGCGAAUAAGCCACGGCUAACUACGUGCCAGCAGCCGCGGUAAUACGUAGGUGGCAAGCGUUGUCCGGAUUUACUGGGCGUAAAGCGCGCGCAGGCGGCCCGUUAAGUCUGAGGUGAAAUCUCUCGGCUCAACUGGGAGGGGUCUUCGGAUACUGGCAGGCUAGAGGGGGGCAGAGGAGAGUGGAAUUCCAGGUGUAGUGGUGAAAUGCGUAGAUAUCUGGAGGAACACCAGUGGCGAAGGCGGCUCUCUGGGCCCUACCUGACGCUGAGGCGCGAAAGCGUGGGGAGCGAACCGGAUUAGAUACCCGGGUAGUCCACGCCGUAAACGAUGGACACUAGGUGUGGGGGGUAUCGACCCCCUCCGUGCCGAAGCUAACGCGAUAAGU
rnacentral:rRNA from 1 species